rnacentral:rRNA from 1 species
UACGGAAGGCAGCAGUGGGGAAUAUUGCACAAUGGGCGCAAGCCUGAUGCAGCCAUGCCGCGUGUAUGAAGAAGGCCUUCGGGUUGUAAAGUACUUUCAGUCGUGAGGAAGGUGUUAAGGUUAAUAACCUUAGCAAUUGACGUUAGCGACAGAAGAAGCACCGGCUAACUCCGUGCCAGCAGCCGCGGUAAUACGGAGGGUGCGAGCGUUAAUCGGAAUUACUGGGCGUAAAGGGCACGCAGGCGGUUAAUUAAGUUGGAUGUGAAAUCCCCGGGCUUAACCUGGGAAUGGCAUUCAAGACUGGUUAGCUAGAGUCUUGUAGAGGGGGUAGAAUUCCAUGUGUAGCGGUGAAAUGCGUAGAGAUGUGGAGGAAUACCGGUGGAGAAGGCGGCCCCUGGACAAAGACUGACGCUCAUGUGCGAAAGCGUGGGGAGCAAAC